rnacentral:lncRNA from 1 species
AUACGUUUGGCUUUCCCUCUCCUUUGCCUCUGCACUGUGCCCAUCACAGGCAGUUGCUCUGCUCUGUGACAGCUCCCUAGCUAACACAAUUAAGCAGGGCAUUGUAAAUUAAGUAUAGCCUGGCAUCAGCACUGGUAUAUGUAACAGACUACAAAUUUCACUGCCUACAUCAGGAAAUGUUUGCCGGCCUAAAUCCUACAAGGUCUGUUAGUUUUUGCAGAGGGUCCCCACAGACCACACUGUAGGAGUAAGAUGACGCCGUGAGCUGCUUCCCACUGGACUGCAGCUGGAGCAUCCCCUAAGAAGAGGUCGACCAGGAGCAAGGUUCUUUAUGGUAGCCACAAACAAUGAAGGUCCCUAGGGAAUAACUCUGGUGUUCAUUUUGCAAGACACACUCCACUGAGGUCCACUGUCCAGUGUGCAAGAGCUGGGGGGCUCUCUGCCUAUGGCAAAACACCACAGCUUCAGAAACUGAACUACAGCUGAGCUCUGCACCACAGCGUUUUCAGGCCCUCCUGCCCAGCAGCUCUCCAGCCUUUCCCACUUUGGAUGGGAAGUAUCAAAUGGAGCAUGCAGAAUAAAGAAGAUGGUCUUUGCUGUGCAUCUGAUCUCCAGAUGGGACCUUUCAGUCUGUUUCCUGGAAAUCCCUUCAGGAAAUGAGGGCUGAAAGGAGUGGGGAAGCACCCAUACCAGGGCUAAAAGUGAGGCAUGGAGAAGACAAAAUUGUCUGAGACAUGGAGUAGUUUCAUAGAAACACAGAAUCAUAAAACCAUAGAAACAUUAAGGUCGGAAAAGACCACUAGGAUCACGUAGUCCAACCAUCAACUCACCACCAUCAUGCCCUCUAACCAUGUCCCUUAGUGCCAUAUCCACAUGGUUCUUGAACACCGUCUCCCUGGGCAACCUGUUCCAAUGCCCCACCACUCUUUCUGAGAAGAAAUUUUUCCUCAUAUCCAACCUGAACCUCCCCUGGAGCAACUUCAGGCCAUUAUCUCUCAUCCUGUUGCUAGUUACUGUGGUACUGUGUACUUCUGACACCAUUCAACCUACAACUACUUCAUACUCCUCUUCAGCUGCCUCUAGAUUUCCAGUGACCUCCAAGAGCUGAAGGGGAAUGUCUGGAUCUUCCACUUUAACACCAUGUCCAACAUCCUCCUGUCCUCUGUAGUACUUCAAGAGAUGGUAGUAUGCUCAAAUGAUGGUGACCGACUGCAGCAUUUAGUGGCUCAAGUACUGCAUCAAAGAAGAUUUUGGUUUGAAUUCUUCAGCCACUGAGAAUUUGUGUGCAUACUGCAAUGAAGUAAGUUUUUUUCCAGAGUCAUUACCCUUGUAAAAGCGUGCCAUUUGGCAACCUUGAUGCACAGAGAGGUUUUACAGCUAGUGUUCAGUUUCAGUGUACCAUCUCUUGUGUGAAGACAUUGAAUGACCUCCAUGUGAUGACUCAGGGCCAAACUGAUAGCAAGGGUUUGAAUACUGAAUAAUGUGAAAAACAGUAGACGAUGGCUUGGAUCAAAGAAGACUUCCCACUCCUGUUUUUGGAGGGCUGCUAGAUGAAGUAGCGGAGCAGAUGUUCACAAAGGUUUAGCCCAGAUCCCCAGACCUUAAGAAGUUCUCUCAAGAAAUGUGCAUCAUUUCAGUUUCUUCUGGGGAGAAUUACAGAAAAAGAGGACCAUACAAAUUCCUUUUAUUUGUCCAGUAACCCAGAUGCAGCUGUUUCUUGAGAACAUUACAAUGUUGGAGAGGGGGAAGUUACCCCUGCUGUUUACAUUCAUCUCUAUUCAAGGGGUAGCAAAACCAAGAAUUUUAACAAACAGUCAGCAACUUGGGAGGUUCUGGAGCCUGCCACCACCAAGCAAAAAGUGGAGAUCUUCUUGCACAUUUAAUGACUUGAUUACUAAACUCAGACUGUUUACCGUAAAAAAGCAUCAGUGUAGUCUGGUAGGUAAUUAAUCUACUGAUAAGCCUAUCUACCUGCAGCUCACCUCCUUUCUCUACUUACUCUCUUAUUUCUGGCUCUACUCCAUUAACUGUGCACACAUUUAAAGCAUUUAUGCUUUUUACUCUCCAUAGCUGGUUUCAGUCAGUAGCAGGUCAUAGUCCUUGCUUCCUACUUUCUCAGAGUAGGCUUGUGAAUAUGAAUGUCUUGUUGGCUUGGUUUGAAUCUGUGUUCUCUUCCCUGGUAUGGAACAGUUCUGCCUCUGAGCUGAGAGGAUAAAGUGCUUGUUACUACAGCCCUGCCUUACAUAAGUAUUUGGUUUUAAGUCUAAUUAUUUUACAAUUCUUCUUAGCUGGCAAUGAACUGCUGUGAUAACAGGGCCUGUGGAACUACCAAUAAGAUCAUCUAAACAUGCCUCUUCAAGCAGAUUUUAAUCUCCUUUUAUCCUGAUGGUAAACUCCCUGAUAUUUGGGGUUUCCUUUUACUUGGACCAAAUGUUUGCCACACCAAAAUAUUCUGGAGGCAUCUGACCCUGAGCAGGGCAGGAGGCCAUACCUGAAUGAGAUCACACAAAAUCUCCCACAUCACCUGCAUCAGGGUGAUCAUGUUCACCUGGUUCUGAGCAUCCCCAUGCACCUCUGUUCACUCUCCUUACACCUCUCCAUCUUCUGGAAGGAAAACAGCCAAAGGCCUGAAAUUGGCCCAACAAGGAAGGAGUCUGUGUGCAGUUGUAACAUUUUCCAUUACAAAGAAGAGAGGGAGCACAGAAGUCAUUCCUGACAAAGUGCAGAAGUUCAUGAAUGCCAGAUUAACAGAUAUAAACCUGUAAUGCAUCAGGUUAUCAGAUUUGUCUCUAGAUGCUCAUCCCCCUGCCCUGGUAUCAGCUUCUGUAAAUUACCUGGCAACUUCUGAAGGCAUUAGUGCCUUUCUCUGUUGCGUCUGUAAUAAUAUUAAAUCUGAAAUGACUUUCUUAAAGUUUUAAAAAUAUCCUAGUUCCUGUUUCAAAUCUGGCUGAAGUUAAUAGGAAUGGGCUUAAGUGAUUUCAGUCAAGGUUCAGGAACUUCAAAAAGAGCACUGGAACAGGCUGCCCAGGGGGGCUGUGGAGUCUCCCUCUCUGGAGAUAGUCAAAACCCGCCUGGACUCUUUUCUGUGUGACCUACGUAAGGAACCUGCUUUGCAGGGGGUUGGACUGGAUGAUCUCCAGAUUUCCCUUCCAACCCCUACAAUUCUGCAAUCCUGUGAAAAACUUGCUAGAAAUUAUUUGGAAUUACAUACAUUUAUUAAAUUAUUAUGUGGUUGGCAGCUAUAGCAGGUGAGGGCCCCCCUCAACAAAUGGCCAGUGUGAAACAGCAGCUCCUGACCUCUCUGCUGCCCCAUGGGGAAGCCAUCCUCAGAAACGACCACUGUGGUGUGGUUACAUCUUGGACACAACAGCCACUUCAGCUCCUCCAUUACGAGAUGUGAGACCAGUUAUGAGAUCCACAGACCACAGGUGAGCAUUUCUAUUGUGCCCACUGUAGAAAAGCUCCUUUCUCCACUCCAGCUGCUGUUCACCAUCAUGUACAUCUGCAGACUCUUCAGCAGUGCUUCAACAGAUGUCUUAAACAACAUCCUCACAUCCCCAGCCUCCUGCUCAGCUGAUGUGACUGAGAUGAACAUUUUUUAGGACCAAGUGUGCUGUGGGCUCAUGCCUCCCAAGAAAUUAUUGCUUUGCUAGAGGAUCCCAGCAGACAAUCGGCUUGCUCCUGGGAUGGACACAAAUGGACAAAUGGCAAUGAUGGUGCCUCUGCCCUCAGGAAACUCACUGUCAGGAGUUUAAACCAGCACUACUUAAUAUAUUUUUAGCCAUGCCUCCUGUUGGGUAAUUUUACAAUUAUGAUUUCAUGAUUAGGAAGGGAGUGCAUAGCUUUCUGCUUUGCCAGGCUACUCUUUCUCAUCACACCUCCAGAAUAGGGAUCUACAGCUUCUGCCUGGGACACAAGGAGAAUAACAAGAAAGCAAACCACCUAGGAAAAAGUGGAAGGAGAUAGAAGAUAUCUAUACUCCGAGGAACAUUUAUUAGCAAAAAAAAAAAAAAAAAGAAGAAGAAGAAGAAGAAAAAGAAGAAGAAGUUACUAGAGCUAAAGAUCGCAGGAUUUUAUGGGAGCUCUGACAAAACUCUAUGGAUUUUGGAGCCUUUACUAGAGCAGAAGUGCUUAAGAACUUUAAUAACUUUUAAUAACAGCUUUUAAAUAGUAGAGUAUUCAGGUUAGUCUCUGCUCAUUUCUACUUGCUGCCAAACUGAGAAGUAACCUUACAGUGGGAGAUCUCUGCAGAUUUCUAAAGUAGAAGCUCCACACAGAAGCUUCUUAACAUUGCUCAUGUAAUGUUUUCCAGCCAGCCCUCAUCUCACAGCUCAUUGUUGGUGACAACAUCUUUACUUCAAAACAUCCUACACAUCUCUCUAGUUCUUGAAUUUAUGAUGUGCUGAAGUGGUUUUUGUACUGUUAUUUUUGGAAAUGUGGGGUUGGGGAAAAAUAAAUUGCACAUUAAAGCUACAGUCAGUCCUUUGAGAAUUACUGCUUGCCAUACACUCCUCAAAGAGGAGCCCUCCUAACAAAGACAUGCUUUGGAGUAGGGAAGGAGCUGUAGAUCCGACCAUGAAGCCUUGUGUUCAGUAGGAGAGAAUUGUUCCUGCCAGAAUACGAAACAAUUCCUAUCUCUGCCAAAACAAUUGCUUGAUGCGUGUUCCCUAAUAGCUCAUAAUGAA